UAAACUUAAUUAUUCUAAGCCACAUGCCAAAGAUAAGGCUUUAUGGAAUGUUAUUAAAAGUAUAUGUGAUAAAUAAUCCAUAUGCCUUGUCACAUAUUUUCUUGGAACAUAGUCAGCACUUGAUGAACUCUGGUUAUUAUUACCAUGAUGAUGAUGUAACACUGUGCAGCAGAAUUGAGAACAGACAGAAUGAGAGACUACAGAACACUGAACCAUGAAAAAUAGGCGGAAGAGUGGCCUGAGAAGCACUCAUGGUUCUGGCAAUGAAAGGUCAAGCCACAACCUGGUAGAAAAACACACAUCUGAUAAAGAACUUGACUCCAGGACACAAAAAGAAUCCUUGAAGAUGCACAAAUGGAAAAUGGGUAGUUUCUCAAAAGGUUGUACGUGUUCCCACCAUGUGGUUGGGUCAGUUCCGCGUCUCGGUAUCUACCCCAAAUUAAAAAAUCAUAUGACCAGA